UCAUAUUCAGGGUGCAGGAAGAUCGCCGAAUCAAAUUUCACGAUAACUUUCCACUGAAAGAUAUUUUUGAUAUUUCUACUAAAAUUUUAUAUCUUUCAGGUAGAUAUGAUACAUUGAUAGAUGUCAAUCUAAUCUUAUGAGUUUGAUCAAAUUAAAGAGUUUAAUUCAAUCAUUAAUUAGAAAGAGUUCUAAUUGUUGAAAUUGGG
rnacentral:lncRNA from 1 species